CCCUUAGAUGUUCUGGGCCGCACGCGCGCUACACUGACGGAGGCAGCGAGCGUGUCCUUCGCCGGCAGGUGCGGGCAAUCUUGCGAGUCUCCGUCGUGCUGGGGAUAGAUGGUUGCAAUUGUCGAUCUUGAACGAGGAAUUCCUAGUAAGCGCGAGUCAUCAGCUCGCGCUGAUUACGUCCCUGCCCUUUGUACACACCGCCCGUCGCUACUACAGAGUGCCCGUGUCCAAGAAACGGUCGGACCCGUGCGGCCUCUCCGGGCGACCGGAGGGCCGUUACGGGGAAGACCCUUUAUUUGACGCGGGUCGAUGAAGUAAAAGUCGUAACA
rnacentral:rRNA from 1 species